GAUGAACGCUGGCGGCGUGCCUAAUACAUGCAAGUCGAGCGAACAGAUAAGGAGCUUGCUCCUUUGACGUUAGCGGCGGACGGGUGAGUAACACGUGGGUAACCUACCUAUAAGACUGGAAUAACUCCGGGAAACCGGGGCUAAUGCCGGAUAACAUUUAGAACCGCAUGGUUCUAAAGUGAAAGAUGGUUUUGCUAUCACUUAUAGAUGGACCCGCGCCGUAUUAGCUAGUUGGCAAGGUAACGGCUUACCAAGGCAACGAUACGUAGCCGACCUGAGAGGGUGAUCGGCCACACUGGAACUGAGACACGGUCCAGACUCCUACGGGAGGCAGCAGUAGGGAAUCUUCCGCAAAGGGCGAAAGCCUGACGGAGCAACGCCGCGUGAGUGAUGAAGGUCUUCGGAUCGUAAAACUCUGUUAUUAGGGAAGAACAAAUGUGUAAGUAACUGUGCACGUCUUGACGGUACCUAAUCAGAAAGCCACGGCUAACUACGUG
rnacentral:rRNA from 1 species